CACUAAAUUCACCAUCUCUUUAUGAAGCUGGUGAUCUUUCUCAAAAGUCUGUAGCAAUUCUAACAGAUCUUGAUAGUUGACUAUAGAUUUCAUCAUUCUAAAAUGACUGAGGAACGAUAGGUAGGACUUGGAUAGAGAGUUCAGGAUUGCAUCCUUCCCUAGUCGUUCAUGCAAGAAAAAGUCGAGUUUGCUCAGUUUUUCAAUCUGCUCGAUCAUGUAAAUAUAUGAUCAGUAACAGAUGCACCCUCCCUCAUUCGAAUAUUAAAAAUGGUGCAACUAGUCUUGUGCCUGAGUCUCUUUAAACUUCCGACUGAACUCGUCAUUUAUGGAGGCCCGCAUGAUGCAACCACGGUUGUUGAGCCACUUCAAAUAAGUAUCUCAGACCGCUCCUCAGGCGUUAGGAGCAGGCUCCUCAGGUGCC
rnacentral:lncRNA from 1 species